rnacentral:lncRNA from 1 species
GUGUUUGCAGGUACUCCCAUAAAUUACAACUUUGAUAGGUACUCUCGACGUUGACCAUCGAUUAUGAUCAUUCCAAAUCAGUGGCGUUAUUUGUGCGGACCUAAGUUUUCCUCAUUUUUUCUUCAAAAGAUAAAAACUUAUUUAAAAAAUUCAAAUACCUGAAAUGAUCACCGAAUAGAACUGUUCCAAAAAUACCAUUUGUUUCAUAAAUUUGGAGGAUGAAAGGAUCGCCUCACCUUUGCCAAA